rnacentral:misc_RNA from 1 species
UGAGAGGAAGAAGAAGAUGAGUCCAGCUCUGGCAAUAGCUGUAAACGAUAAAGCCUAAAUUCUGCUCUUUUCAUUGCACUGUAUAUGGAAAAUGCUAGGAUCUGAACCCCCUUGAGGUCAUAAGUUAUAUGCACCCAACCCUUACCACAAUCAAAUUAUGAGUACAAGGGAACUUUAUUUAUAUGGAUCAAGGACAUAUAAAAGGC